rnacentral:rRNA from 1 species
UGGGGAAUAUUGGACAAUGGGCGCAAGCCUGAUCCAGCCAUGCCGCGUGAGUGAUGAAGGCCCUAGGGUUGUAAAGCUCUUUCACCGGCGAAGAUAAUGACGGUAACCGGAGAAGAAGCCCCGGCUAACUUCGUGCCAGCAGCCGCGGUAAUACGAAGGGGGCUAGCGUUGUUCGGAUUUACUGGGCGUAAAGCGCACGUAGGCGGACUUUUAAGUCAGGGGUGAAAUCCCGGGGCUCAACCCCGGAACUGCCUUUGAUACUGGAAGUCUUGAGUAUGGUAGGGGUGAGUGGAAUUCCGAGUGUAGAGGUGAAAUUCGUAGAUAUUCGGAGGAACACCAGUGGCGAAGGCGGCUCACUGGACCAUUACUGACGCUGAGGUGCGAAAGCGUGGGGAGCAAACAGG